rnacentral:rRNA from 1 species
GACGAACGCUGGCGGCGUGCCUAAUACAUGCAAGUUGAGCGCUGAAGGUUGGUACUUGUUCCAACUGGAUGAGCAGCGGACGGGUGAGUAACGCGUGGGGAAUCUGCCUUUGAGCGGGGGACAACAUUUGGAAACGGAUGCUAAUACCGCAUAAAAACUUUAAACACAAGUUUUAAGUUUGAAAGAUGCUAUUGCAUCACUCAAAGAUGAUCCCGCGCUGUAUUAGCUAGGUGGUGAGGUAAAGGCUCUCCCAGGCAAUGAUACGUAGCCAACCCGAGAGGGGGAUCGGACACAUUGGAACUGAGAAACGGCCCAGACCCCUACGGGAGGCAGCAGUAGGGAAUCUUACGAAAGGGGGGAAAGCCUGACGGAGCACAGCGGGGUGAGUGAUGAAGGGUUUCGGACAGUAAAAUUAUGUUAGUAGGGAAGAAAAAAUGUGGAAGUAACUAUGAAAGUAAUGACGGUACCUAAACAGAAAGCCACGGCUAACUACGUG